rnacentral:rRNA from 14 species
GUUUAUGAUCAUAAUGCUUUGUAUAUCACACAGUCUCAACAGAUCUCAGAAGCUAAGCAGGGUUGGACCUGGUUGGUGCUUAGAUGUGAAAACUGACUGUAAAUGGUACCUGCUAACA